AUUGAACGCUGGCGGCAUGCCUUACACAUGCAAGUCGAACGGUAACGGGCCUUCGGGUGCCGACGAGUGGCGAGCGGGUGAGUAAUGUAUCGGAACGUACCUUUCAGUGGGGGAUAACGCAGCGAAAGUUACGCUAAUACCGCAUAUUCUGUGAGCAGGAAAGCAGGGGAUCGCAAGACCUUGCGCUGAUUGAGCGGCCGAUGUCAGAUUAGCUAGUUGGUGAGGUAAAGGCUCACCAAGGCGACGAUCUGUAGCGGGUCUGAGAGGAUGAUCCGCCACACUGGAACUGAGACACGGUCCAGACUCCUACGGGAGGCAGCAGUGGGGAAUUUUGGACAAUGGGGGCAACCCUGAUCCAGCCAUGCCGCGUGAGUGAAGAAGGCCUUCGGGUUGUAAAGCUCUUUCGGCCGGGAAGAAAUCGUAUGGGUUAAUACCCUGUGCGGAUGACGGUACCGGCAUAAGAAGCACCGGCUAACUACGUGCCAGCAGCCGCCGUAAGAC
rnacentral:rRNA from 1 species